CGACUUAUAUAUAUAACAAGUUCAUGCAUCCGAAUUAAGCACAGGCGAUGACGCCAUCUUGUUUCUUCUUGUUGCAUGCAUGUUCACAUGCCCUCGUGGGUAUUAGUUAUGUGUACAUAAUUGUAUUGUGGUUUUGUCAGCUUUACGUGAAGGAAAGGGACACAUAGUGUCUAGAUAUUUUCUCAUCUUUCCCCAUAUUUGAUUUUUUAAAAGAAAUUCGGAUCAAUUUAGGUUCGGCUUUAUAUUCUCUGCGUGCUCGCUCUUUCUCUCUCGGUCAUGCAUUGCAGGAGCGAAGCCAGCCACUAUGGCUACUGGGGUCUUACGUAUUACACAGUGGUGUCAACAGAGUGAUGAGCAAUAAUCAACAGUAGUUCUCUAUAGGAUUUGUAGAAAUUUAUCGGGAUUGCUUGACCUGAUGCCAAAGGCUAGCUUCGCCCCGGAUUGCGCUCUCUCUCUCUCUCUCACACACACACACACCCGUGUGUGUGGGGGGAGGGGGGCAUCAAUUGACAUGAUGAUGUAAAAAAUUAUAGUGUGGUAAGGGUAAAGAGUGGUACUCAUGUGAGAGGGUGUGCAUCAGUUGAGGCGAUGUCGGAAGAAUUGCGAUGAGGCAUUAGGGUAUUAGUGACCGAGAGCACGCACCCUUGCAUGUGAUAUAGGACGAUGGUGAUAUUAUAUAUUGUCUUUUUUUUCUUUUUGAUUGAAACCGAGAUACAUACAUUGUCUAGCUAGAUGGUGACAGUGAGAUGAGAUUAAUUUUAGGACCAUGUACGUUGGAGAAGAUAGAAGCACAUCAAUUGAAAGGCCACCGUCACAUUGGAAUAUCGAUCACCGAUGUGAGGCCCAAAAUGCAUGUGAUUGGGGAUACCAUGCGGGUUACCAAAUGAUGGUCAUGAUACCACUCUAGAUGCAUGGUCCUGUACCGUCCUUGUCUUGACAGAGUAUUAUUUAGUGGUGUGUU
rnacentral:lncRNA from 1 species